GCUAUAUGUCUCUGUGUUCUUUUUCAAUGGUUUCUCUAGGAUUAUAAAACAGAUAAUUAAAUUUUCACAGUCUAAAGUUAACAUUGUCCCAUUUCAUGUAAAAUAUGAACUCCUCAGUCUUACAGAUGUCAUAUAUAUUAUAUUUGCAUAUUUUAAAGCUCCCUCAAUACAACAUUUUACUUCUUUAAGUAGCCAUAUAUAUUUUGAAGAAAUUCAGAGAAAGAGUCUUUUAUACUUCCCUACGUAUUUACCAUUUCCAGCACCCUUCAUUCUUUCAUGAAAUUUCAGCCUUCCAUCUAGUCUCAUUGUCCUGCAGCCUGAAGGACUUCCUUUAGCACCUCCGGUAGUACAGGUCUGCUGGUAAUAAAUUAUUUUAGUUUUCUUUUAUAUGAAAAUGUCUUUAUUUUGCCUUUAUUCUUGCAGACAAUUUUUUGCUGGAUAGAGGAUUCUAGAUUGGCAGCUUCUCUUCUCCUUCUCUUUCAGCACAUUUCUGUUUCUUAUUGCUGUUGUAAGAAAGUACCACAAACUUAGUGGCAUAAGAAAAUGGAAAAUUCCUUUUGUCUUCACAGGCAACAAUAUCAUGCUGAGUUCUUACCAUGUAAGACUGAGUUCUUAUCACUGCCGUCUCUCUGGUUCUUUUAUUUGUGUCUUUCUCUUCCUCUUCCAUUUUUAUUGGAUUAUUUUUCAUUCAUUUCACAUUUUAUUCAUAUCACAUUUUUAAGAUUCUUUGUUGAUAUUUCCUAUUUGUUCAUUACAAGCAUAUUUUCCUGUCUUUUCUUGGGCAUAGUAAUGAAAGCUGACUAUAAACAUUCUUACCUAGUUUUUGAGGCAGUUGGGCCAUUUUGGGUUGGUUUUCAUUGAUUGAAUUUUUUUUUCUUGAGAAUGGGUCACCCUGUCCUCUUCCCUCAUAUGUCUAGUAAUUUUGGGUUUUAUUCAGAACAUUUUUAAUAUGUUAUAGGUUUCUGGAUUCUCUUAUAUUCCUCUGAAGUGUGUGUGUGUGUGUGUGUGUGUGUGUGUGUGUGUGUAUUGCUUUAGCAUGCUAUUAUAUUGGCAGAUGUGUGCUCCAACUUUGUUACCCCUGUGAAGGGCAGCAACUGAAAUCACUUUUCAGUUCUUUUAGACUUUUCCGGACUGCUGGGCCUCUCCUCAAUGCAUGUGGAUAGUAGGGGUCACCCAGAGAUUCAGGCAUUUUAUGCACUAGACUCUGGCCCUCACUGGGAUUUUUUUCCUGUCACUUUCCUUUUGUUUCUUUAAGAAGCUGCAGAUUUCUAUCCAACUUGCAGUUGCCCCAGCUGGCACAGCCAGAAAAUUUCUGGCUUCAAUUUAAAAAGCUUUAUAAACAAGAAACUCAUCUAGUGUUUUUCAUUUAUUUUCAAGUGUUAACUCCCUUCCAGUUUCUGUCUGCUUUUGGCCACUCUCUAGUACCUUCAGUUAGUUUUUUUAAAUGUCGAAUCCAGAGCUUAUAGUUGUUAUAUUUGGUAUGUUAUAUAUGGGAGGAGCUGCCUUAUUAUUACCAGAAGUUUUAUUAUGGUUGUUGCUUCUAGUGUAUGUUCACAGUUUGUUUUUUUUUUUUAAUUUUUUUUGGCAAACCAAUAAAAAAGGAAGAUAAUUUUUUUUUAUUUGCAAAACAUGCUUUACUAGGAAUUAGCCUAAGGAUUCUCAAAAGUACUGGUCAAAGUCAAUGCUUUGGAGCUGCAGACUGCUUAUUAAUUUAGUUUGAUCUUAUCUAGAUAUCCUUCUGGUGCUACUGACCUGGGCCAGGGGUGUCUAAUCUUUUGGCUUCCCUGGGCCACACUGGAAGGAGACAAAUUGUCUUGAGCCAUACAUAAAAUACACUAACAUGAAUGAUAGCUGAUGAGCUAAAAGAACAAAAAUCACACAAAAAAACUUAUGUUUUAAGAAAGUUUGCAAGUUUGCGUUUGGCCACAUUCAAAGCCAUGCUGGGCCACAGGUUGGACAAGCUUGACCUAGGCCGAGACCAAUUUGCCAUCUAUUACACUUGAUUUCUUCUUAGGAAAUUGUGCCUGACACAUGGGCAUAUGGUUGCGCCAGAAUGGAGUCAUACGGAACUUCUGUAGUAUCUGGCGUUGUGCUUUCCAGUACCUCUAUGGAGGUUUGGACCAUAAUCUUGAGAGACACUAUCUUGAAUGCCAUAAUUCCAAAUGUUGAAAUUUUGAAAGAUUAAAAUCCCUAAAGUCUAGUUUUAUUUAUUUAUUUAUUUUGAGACAGAGUCUUGCCCUGUCACCUAGGCUGGAGUACCGUGGCGUGAUCUUGGCUUGCUGCAACCUCUGCCUCCGGGUCUCCAGCAAUCUUUCCACCUCAGCCUCCCGAGUAGCUGGGGCUGCAGGUAGGAGCCAUCAUGCCCGGCUAAUUUUUGUAUUUUUUGUAGAGAUCGGGUUUUGCCAUGUUGCCCAGGCUGGUCUUGAACUCCUGGGCUCAAGCGAUCUGCCCGCCUUGGCCUCCCAAAGUGCUGAGAUUAUAGGUGUGAUUCACUAGCUCCAGCCUAAAAUCCCUAAAUUCUAAAAUCCCCAAAUCACAAUUCUGAGAGACCAAAAUUUCAAAAAUAUAAUUGUGGAAUAAAGUUUUAAAAAUAUUUAAAAUACAUUUGUUACAAUUUUAAAAGAAGACUUUAGAGACAUAUAAAUACAUGACUGAACACAUUAUAGGCCACUUUACACAGUAAAAUAGGCAACAAUACCAUACAUGUUCUCUUUGCAAGCAUCAACACACAGAUAUACUAAUGGGAGUCACUCAGCUAUUAUAGCUAUGAACAGACAAACUGUAUUUAUAAAGAAAUAGGUCAGAAAGUGAAAUGUGUGAACGCUUAUUACUAUGGUUGGAAAUUGUAUGCAUCCAUCGUUGUAACUGCAGUCAUCAAAAAUACCCUGACAGACAUGUUUUGAUGAGAUGGAUCAAAAACCUCUGGUCACUGCCACAAAUACAGUCACUCAAAGAGCCAAGGUCUCAAGAAAUUUUAUCUUUCACAAAUGGAGACACAGAAAAAAGGCAGUUCUUCAUUUAUGGAAGAAGUUUCAGUGUUUUUAUGUACAUGCACCAUGCUUAUACACAAAGCAGCAUUGUGAUAAUGCGUGUACUUGGAAUAAUGUUUCUUACGUCCAAGGCAGAAGAAAAGUCUGUCUCAUCUCUCAGAGAGAAAGCAGUUUACCAUCUGUGUUUGUUCCCUCUGGACCCAAGGCUGAUUGGAUGGUGCCCGCCAACAUUUUAGGCAGAUCUCCACCUACUCCAUUCAGAGUCAUGUACUAAUCUCCUCUGGAAACACCCUUACAGACAUAUCUGAAAUAAUGCUUUACCAAGUUACUAGAUAACUCUUUAAUCCAGUCAAGCUGACACCGAAAAUUAAGUCUACAAGUCUACCCCUUGUGAAUCUGGCACCUGUACACAUCUUAAACCAUAGCUAAUUUCCAGAUGAAGACAACCACAAGAUAAGAGUCCUGUCUAACAUGAUAGAACUAACACGAUUCAUCCACACUGAGCACAGCGGAAAGCACACGAAUCCCUCCCCAGAACUAACAGGAUGCAGCCACAGUGAGCACAGUGGAAGGCACACGAAUCCCUCCCCAGAACUAACACGAUGCAGCGACAGUGAGCACAUGGAAAGCACACGAAUCCCUCCCCAGAACUAACAGGAAGCAUCCACAGUGAGCACAGUGGAAAGCACAUGAAUCCCUCCCCCGAACUAACAGGAUGCAAAGACAGUGAGCACAGUGGAAAGCACACGAAUCCCUCCCCAGAACUAACACGAUGCAUCCACAGUGAGCACAGCGGAAAGCACACGAAUCCCUCCCCAGAACUACACGAUGCAUCCACAGUGAGCACAGCGGAAAGCACACGAAUCCCUCCCCAGAACUACACGAUGCAUCCACAGUGAGCACAGUGGAAAGCACACGAAUCCCUCCCCAGAACUAACAGGAAGCAUCCACAGUGAGCACAGUGGAAAGCACACGAAUCCCUCCCCAGAACUAACACGAUGCAGCGACAGUGAGCACAGCGGAAAGCACACGAAUCCCUCCCCAGAACUAACAGGAAGCAUCCACAGUGAGCACAGUGGAAAGCACACGAAUCCCUCCCCAGAACUACAGGAUGCAGCGACAGUGAGCACAGCGGAAAGCACUCGAAUCCCUCCCCAGAACUUGGCUUUCAGGAUUGCAGCAUUUGGGGUUUCAGUGUUUGGGGAUUAUGAUUUUCAGGAUUUUCGAUUUCAGAGAUUUCGACUUCAGGCUAAUUUUUACUCUCAGGCCUUUUUUGUUUUUAAAGGCCUGUAUACCAAUAUUUUCAGGGAUGAUGGCAUUCAGGAUUGUGUCCUUUGGGAUUAUAAUGGCACCACCCCUAGGUACUAGGCUCUUCCCAUACUCAGUAAUCACUACUUGUGAUUAUAGUGGGGAUAAAUAAGUCUGAAAUUUUGAAAUAUUUUAAUUGCACAAAUAAUGUAUAAAUGCAAUAACUUUAUUUUAAAUAAUUUAAAACAUUUUAUAACAAAGGCAAAAUUCCCCUUCAUCAUUGUCCUUAAUCCCUGUUUUCUCCCACCGUCCUACCCUCCUUCCUAGAAGUAGCCACUGCUGGCAUUUUGGCACCUCACCUUCAGCAUUACACAUCCCCACUCCCACAAUUUUUUUUUACAGACACACACAAAAAAUUGUUUUGUGUUGUUUUGAUAAGCAGCACCAUAUUGUAUAUAUAUCUGCAACAUCCUUAUUUUUACUUACUUACACAUCUUAGAUAUCUAUGUUUAUUACAUAUGGAUUUACUGUAUUUGACAUUCUAUACUCCAGUGCUUCUGCUGAUAGAAUUAAUUUAUCCUAUUGUAAUCUUCUUAGGAAACCCUUCAACAAGUAUUUCUGAUCGAACCAGUAAAGCCUCAUUGUUUUGGAGCCUACUUACUUGAAAUCUGUAAUAAUUAUGCCUAGAAUAGAAUUAAAAUUUAUGGUUGCCAAUUAAUGACUUAAAAGAAUAUUUGUCCCCACUAAGAGAUAAAUAGCUUUUAAAUACCAGUUUAAAACAUACCAAUUACACAUAAAUUUUUAUCUGUGUUUCAUUAUCUAACAAGGCAGUGGCUUGUUCUGCUGACCCUUAAGCAUUUGCAGGCGAUAAAAGGUGCAUGCCAUUAAAACCAUCCUCCAGUAGGACUGGGCACUAAUUAGGACUUUGCUUAGGUGAACGUAAACACAAUGGCUCCCUCUCCACUUUAUCUCGCCAUUCACUUUGUUCUGUUGCUUUUUGAUCAGGGUUCUGACAGAUCCUCAGGUCGGUGCUUCACCUCUUCGUGAGGAGGACUCCUCUUGGGGCCCAUCUCUGGGUACUUUGGGGAAGUGAAUACAGGAAGAUUAUCUUAUGGUGUUGUAGUACCCUGAAGCUUUUCAUCAUUUUGGAUGUCACUUUAAAAAGACAAAAUGGAAAUGAAUAAAAGCUAAUAACUAAAAGCGCAUUAUUUUGAGAUGGAUACGUGUAUAAAGUCUCUUACAGAUUGCUGCAGAAAUGCCCAGAUGUAUUUCUGGCUAAAACACCAAGAGAGUAUAUUUGGACCUAAUCGAUAUUAGAUACCACUUUCUCUUUCUCCUUUGAGAAUUAAACUCACUUGUGGCAUUUUCCUCAUCAUCCAUAAAAGUAAGAUGAAUGUUAUCAGUUCAGCCCUCAGGAUGGAGGUCCCGGGAAAUGAAAAGAAGGACCAGAGACUGCUGUUGCCGUAGGUUUAGAAAUUGCCAGUUCCCACCUCACUAGUUUUCGGUGUGUCUCUUGGUAGUCUUUGACUCUCUAAGUUCCUGUGCCUCUCACCCUUCAAGAUAGUCUAGGACGGGCAGGGCAACCAUCUCUCAAAGCAUGGAUCCACUCUCUGAACACAGAUUUAGGCCUAAGAAGUGGCCAGCACCUCCACAAGCCUGCCUCAUUGACGGGGAGAGGGAAGGGGGCAAUUGAGAUUCACUUCCCCCCAAACUAAGGCUCCACGUAGGAGGGAUGUGGGGGAGAUGAUGGUAUCUGGGGCAGUCCAAUAGCUCACUGUCCAUCUAAGCAUUCCUGGGAAGAAUGACAACAGUCUCAUUCGUCCUGCCCACCACCAACCCCAAAUGGAAUAAAUGGAAUUCAGCCUUCGCAGGCAGCUGGAGGAGUGAGCCUGCUGCUGCCUCUGCCUCAGGAUUCUUCAGAGGAAGCCACAAAGGGUUUGGAUGGGGGUGAACUUCAAAGUGGCAUGAUGAAAAGCUCGAGGUGAUGUCUUCCGGGAUUUAGCAAUGCCAUCUUUCUGUUUUAUGUUGGCUUUCUUUCUUGAUUUGGGAUUGUGUUUAUCAGUUCGGCUUAUUAAUAUUAAGUAAUUACAAACAAUCAUACAUGCAUUUAGGAACUUAUGUUUAAUCUCUGGCAACAGCAUAGUUUAUUGGCAAAAACAAAUGCACAUACACUGUAGGUUAGUGAUGAACAUCAGCAGACAGGCCUGCUCUUGAGAUUUUUGUCUAACUGAGGAGCGUCAUUACCAUGGCAGUAUUGUUCUGUUUUAUGUGAAAUGUGUUGGAUAUUUAUGUUGAGUUUAAGAUAUCUGGCACGAAGCUUUCCUCACACAGAAGAAAAUUUUCACAACUUUUGCAGAUUCUCAGUUUGUUUUCUUUUAUUACAAAUUAAAACAUUUUGAUUUAGAUUUUCUGUUUCACAAUUUUCAUUUUUAUGGUAGAACAUGAUAAGGCAGCUACAAGGUCAUGACUAAGAAUACAGAGUCCAGAAGCAGACAGGCUGUGUGACUGGGGGCGGUUAUCUCUGUGCUCCAGCUACAGCAUCUCAAAAUUGGAGAGAAUCUAAAUGAUGUUCUAUGUAGUUGGUCGCCUUUGUCAUGUUAUAUUUUCAGAUGAGAGCCACCUUGUUUUCUGCACAGACAUAUCCUAGUCAGUGAUUCUUCUCCUUCCCAUGUUGGUUUUUGAUGGUUUCAUUUUUGAAAAGGGAGACCAGCUUUUCAUUCGCUUUUUCAGCAGAAGCAUAAGGUAAGACAUAAGGGGUAAGGUAAGGCAUAAGUUGGAGGUAUGACUGGUAAUUCUGGAUUGAUGGCUUUGCAAAAGGAUGGCUGUUAUGCCUGCGGAACUGGCUCCCCUCCAAGAACCAUUCACACUGACUUCAUAUUAAGGAGGUUCUUUGAUUUGUUACUAAUAAGAGUAGUAUUUUUUAUUGUGGUUUUUAUUAGUGUAACAAUAACAAAUGCUUCUGUAGUUCAUUAUUAUGAACAGUAAACUCAUGUACCUGAUUAUGCUUUUUGUCGAGAUGAGGAAACUGUGGUAGGGGUUUGACUGGUAGCAGGUUGCAGGCACCCUGCGCUCCGUCUCUAUGUUCUUGUUCUUCCCUCAGCCUUUCUGCCCCCUCCCAGUCAUAGCCUCCCUCCUGAGCUCUGCAUCCAUCAGCAAAGACUUUAACCAUUUAGGUUUAGAUCAUCAUUACUUCUGACUAUUCGUUUUUGAUUGUGUUGUCAGAAGACUUUUUGUUAUAAAGAAGAGAAUUAUAAAACAUAGAUUUGAAGCAAGCAUAGCAUAUUUGUACCCUUUUAACAGAGGUGGCAGUGAAAUGACAGCUUUUUGCUGCGUGGGUGUUCUUUUUUUUUUUUUUUUGCUGACCUGUAGUUUGAUUUCCAGUGUCUAGACUUAACAGUCUGAAUUUAAACACGAGGCAUAUACACAAAAUCAUCUGGAACUGAUUUUUUCACACUAAACACUUCUUUCUGAUCCUACUUUCCAGGAGGCUCCUUCCUCCAAACAUACCUCCAGAUGAAAAUCACUUAAUUAACCAAGAAAGACUCAACCGCCCUUAACUGCUUUUCUAAACAGUCACACAUACUGGAUUUACUUAUUUUGAGACAUGACAAACCAGUUGCAAACCACAAAUUCAUUCUCAUGGGCCCUCCACACGGUCUCUUGUUCCUUCUGAAGAGGGUCUUGCUGAGGACCAUUUGUCCCCCUUCCUGCAGCAGCUACUCAGUCGGUGCCGGAGAGUGUGGCCUUUCGAACUAUUUGCGGUUUUCCUGCCACAUGAUGCUGACGGACCUCAGCCUCUCCCGGCCUUGGUGCACAUACAACAGCCUGUAAAAGCUCCACUUUCUAUUCCAGAUUGCUGUUAUGCGUCUGCUUCUCAUUCAAAGGAAAUAAGAGGAGAUGUAAAUCGUCGCUGUGCAGUUACGUGUUUAAUGAAAAUGAUCUUGCAUGCUAGAUUCACGUCCAGGAGCGAGUCGCCCUUACUGCUGGUAUUGAACUCACUCUCCUUGGAGCGCCCCAAGGCUGUGGGCUGUGGGGGGGCAUUAGUGUGUGUGGGCGCAGCUAUUAUUUGUACCAGGAGGCACAAGUCUGCACAGCAACCUGAAGAUUUAGAUUUUCAAGAAACUGCAAAUCCUGACACACCUGGUGAUAAAACCCAGAUGCUCUCCCCAACUCAUACCUUGUCCCGCAACUCCCACUCCCCACUUCCUGACUAGACUUUUUAUUUUUUGGUCCAGAAGAUAGGGGUAAGAGAAGAAUGCUGAAGGGAGUGAGUGGAUGAGAGAAUGCUUGGCUUACUUGCCCAUUAGAUAGUUCCAGCUCCAAAUACUGUUCUAAUUAAGAACAAAAUAAAACCAUUCUCCCCCACUGGCUGUCUGGUAUGUAGACAAAUUUGGAAAUAGGUAAACAGUUGCUGUAUUAGAAUUGGGUAUAUUUUAGCUUGAUGACAAUAUUUACUUGAUUUUAUCACUGAAGAGAAUCACGAUCUUUGUGACAUAUACAGUCCUUCUUAUUCUUUUAGCUCUAUCUUUAUUAAACUAGAUUGUCAUCAAAUGGUGGUACGUGACUUCAAAAGGACUCUACCAGCUCUUAUUCACCGGAAUUUUUACUUUUAUUGACUAUCUAAAAGUUUACCGCUUCAAAGAAAGACUGUUCCUACUGAGAUAAAGUACUGAAUUCUGCCACUCUCUCCUCCUGUCCCAGACUUUAAUUAUAAAAUCACAAUCACACCAGAUAGUAAGCCUUAAAUAUUUUAACAUUUUUCCCAGUGGGAAGACAGCAACACAUAAAACGACAUGCAAUUAUAUGAAAAGAUUUAUUUGUCCCUGACCCAGGAAGCUAUGCACCAGUGCUUUCAGAUAAUAGUCUGCCCGGCCCACCCUGAGGGAUCUAAUGAAUUAACAUAAAUACCUGUGAGUAGGUUAAGUACACACAAGGAGCAGAUUACAAAAGAAUGAAAACUUAAGCAAUUAGCAAGGAUUUUAAAACAUUGAUCUAUCAGGUGUUCUAGAAAGUAUUUGCUUCUACAUUUCGAGUUUAGCUCAAAUUUUACUGAGCAGCUUAAACAGCACUGUCUGCUUUUGCCUCUAGGUCACAGGUCAUUGUCAAAUUCAUUUAUAAGAUAGUUUCAAUCUGUACUUAUUUAGCAGUGCAGAGAAUUUUAGACACACUACCUUUUCACUGUUUGUAAAAAAAAAUUUGAAAAAUAAGAAUUGUAAUGUAAAAAAUAUUGGAAGACUAAUUCUUAACCUACAUGAAGAAACAGUUUUCAGCAGCUUUCUAAAUGUCUUGUUUACAUCCAAAUUGUUGAGAAGCUCGUUGCCAAUCUGUUAAUUCAUGAAAAUUCAACCUUUUAGGAUGUCCACUAAGCUGCCUUUUAUUAGCCCGGUUUGAAUGACUGUGUUCGUACUUGAGAUGAGUUGAACUGAAUUGCCUUAAAAAUUCAAAUCUGUAAUGAAUUCAUAAGGAGUUUUCAUCCCAAAGUUCAAAUUGGUAGGGCCUAGUAAUAACUUUAGACAUUUAUGUGGUGACGAGCUUUUAAUCUUCCUUAAGGUUUUUAAAACUCUGCAUGUACUGUCCUUCUUCUAUGUUCUCUUGUCCUUUUAGUUGGUUUUGGUAGAAAUUUUAUAAGGCAAAUUAAUGAAAGUUAUCUCCUGAGUGGCAGUUUACAACAAAAACAGAUGUAAAGGAGAAAAAAAUGAAAUGAAAAUUUGGAUUAAAGAAGAAAAAAGUCUCAUGUUAGUAACAGAUAUAACAAAAAGAGUGAACUCUACGUGGCUAUAAGUUCCUUGACAGCAAGGACUUUGCCUUUCUUAGGUGGAAUCUAUUGACAUGUAGAGAAGGAAUGUUUUACUUAGGAGGUUGUCAAGGAAUGUCUGUCAAGUAGGGGUAGAAGGAAGGAAUUAACAGGGCUUUGAGAACAUUCUCACAUUUGAAGUGCUAAUAAUUUCUGGUGUGAAUUUGGUGAUAACAGUGUUUCAGUAUUUAAUAUUAAUUUGAAUUUUCUGGCUGGUUAUUAACUUGAGUUACGUUUAUAGGUGAUGAAACAAACGAAGAGGAUUGCAUGUUUAUACACAGUAGAACUUGAGGGUUUUCUAAUAAGCAUACUUUAACAUUGCCUCAGCCUGUAAAUCUGGGAUUACAAGGCAGAUAAGUUUUAGGGUGAUUACUUCUUUCACCCCAUAAUUACUUCAUGGAUUUGCCGUGGUGUUUCUGUAAGUAGUGAGCAUCUCUAGUAAACUGACAUUUUGAUUCUAUUUAAACAACUCAUUUUACCCAGUUUUUCAGCAGCACAUUGACUGGAUAAAGUAAGGCGCGCAUCUGUCCUCACUUUUUUGAGUCUUGCUCCUAAGUCUUGUGAAGAAAAUAUGGGUGCACGUAUGCAUUCCUUUAUUUAGAGUAACUUCAUUGCAUGAAGUUGAGCUGAAGAACUAGGAGGAAAAUAGCUCUUUUUGUAAGUUGUGCUUUAGGAGACUUUGGAUUUAGCUAGGAAUGGGAUACUGAGAAAAACUGAGGUUUCACCUCCUCUAAACAAUGGGACAGUGUUCUCAUCUCUUUGGGACUAUAUACAUAUCUAUUUAUAUCCUGCUUUAGUCCAGAAGGAAUUUCAGCUUUGGAAAAAACCAUGCACACACACAAAGAUACAAAUAAAGUGUAAGUGAAGUAAUCAGAGUAAGAGGUUGGGGAAGGUAAGUCGAAACCAAAAGUGUAAUUAGUAUACAGAUUAUAGGCUCUGCAGACCUACACGGUCACAGGAAGACCACCACAUAUUUGGCUGUUAGCUUUUGAACAAAGCCAAUGCAAAGAGGAUAACAUGAACGAUGCACGGUUCCCAGUGUCUGUGCCAAAAUCGUCUAAGUUCAGUCCGGUCUAGAAGGCCGGGGGAUGGAGCUGACCUCAGGGGAACCCUGCUGAAGUUGUGACAUUUAUUCAGUCAAGAAGUAUUUAUUGGACAUGAACAAUUUGUCAGUGACCAUGCUAGACACUGGGGAUACGCAGUCCCACCUUUAAGGACACACAGUAUAGGGGAUAGAUCAAUAAAAUAGACUGAAAUUGCAGUGCAGUGGGAUAAAUGCCGUGGAGGGGAGUAGGCAUGAGGUAUUAGACUGGGAGACGGGGAUAUCUGGGGAAGAUUUGUGUUGGUGCCUCAGCUGACUUCUAAAGCCUACAUACUUCUUAACCCAGGCAAAAGUGGAAAUGCAUUCUAGGUAGAGGACAAGUAGCCAGAACAAAGUGACAAAGGUAAGAAAGUGCCAUGCUUUCUGAGAACUGCAUUUAAUAGUUCAGUUUGACUAGAACAGAGAGUACAAAAGGGAGAAAGUGUUGAGAAAUUAGAGAGAAAACUUGGGCACAUCAGAAAAAGGCCCUGUUUUCCACUAUGCUCGGGAGGUUGAGGGCAGUGGGCAGCCUUCCCGGCAAAGAGCCUGUGGAGAAUGGAUGGAAGGAUAGGCAGGAGACAAGGUAGGAGUUCCGGCAGUGAUGCGAGCAAGAGAGAACAGAGGCCUCCAUUAAAGCCCGAUAGUGAGGACAGGAAGAAGGGAGUACAGGGAAGUUACUCAGGAGCAAAAUUGACAGGAUUUGGCCUAGAAGAGAUGAGGGACAGUGAAGAAGUAGGAAUUGGGAUUAUUUCUUGGUUUCUGGCCUAGUCGCUGUGCAGAAAAGAGUUAACCUAGCAGGCCUAAACUGCUUAUCCUUGAAAAGACCUGGGCUGGGCGUGGUGGCUUACGCCUCUAAUCCCAGCACUUUGGGAGGUUGAAGCGGGUGGA
rnacentral:lncRNA from 1 species